rnacentral:tRNA from 1 species
AGAGAGAUAGCUUAGUGCUUAAGAGCACUGGAUGUUCUUCUAGAGAACCUGGGUUUGAUUCCCAGCAUCUGUA